rnacentral:rRNA from 1 species
UACGAAGGGGGCUAGCGUUGCUCGGAAUCACUGGGCGUAAAGGGUGCGUAGGCGGGUCUUUAAGUCAGGGGUGAAAUCCUGGAGCUCAACUCCAGAACUGCCUUUGAUACUGAAGAUCUUGAGUUCGGGAGAGGUGAGUGGAACUGCGAGUGUAGAGGUGAAAUUCGUAGAUAUUCGCAAGAACACCAGUGGCGAAGGCGGCUCACUGGCCCGGAACUGACGCUGAGGUGCGAAAGCGUGGGGAGCGAACAGG